rnacentral:rRNA from 1 species
UUCCUACGGGGGGCAGCAGUGGGGAAUAUUGCACAAUGGGGGAAACCCUGAUGCAGCGACGCCGCGUGAGCGAUGAAGUAUUUCGGUAUGUAAAGCUCUAUCAGCAGGGAAGAAAAUGACGGUACCUGACUAAGAAGCCCCGGCUAACUACGUGCCAGCAGCCGCGGUAAUACGUAGGGGGCAAGCGUUAUCCGGAUUUACUGGGUGUAAAGGGAGCGUAGACGGCAUAGCAAGUCUGAAGUGAAAGCCCGUGGCUCAACCGCGGAACUGCUUUGGAAACUGUUAAGCUGGAGUACUGGAGAGGG